AGCAGAAUAGCAGGGUCAAAUGGUGGUUCCAUUCCAAGUUUUCUAAGGAAUUCCCAUAUUGCUUUACAGAGUGGUUAUACCAAUUUGCAAUCCCACCAGCAAU
rnacentral:pre_miRNA from 1 species